CCCUUAGAUGUUCUGGGCCGCACGCGCGCUACAAUGAUGAAUUCAACGAGUUUAUAACCUUGGUUGAAAAGCCUGGGUAAUCUUUUGAACUUUCGUCGUGAUGGGGCUAGACCCUUGCAAUUAUUGGUCUCCAACGAGGAAUUCCUAGUAAACGCAAGUCAUCAGCUUGCAUUGAUUACGUCCCUGCCCUUUGUACACACCGCCCGUCGCACCUACCGAUUGAAUGGUCCGGUGGAAUCUUCGGAUUGAGACUUUGAUUUGUUUACUCAAAACGCUGUUUCAAGAAGUUGAUUAAACCUUACCAUUUAGAGGAAGGUGAAGUCGUAACA
rnacentral:rRNA from 1 species